rnacentral:rRNA from 1 species
AAAAAUCGAUUCCCUGAGUAGCGGCGAGCGAAACGGGAAGAGCCCAAACCAAUAAGCUUGCUUAUUGGGGUUGUAGGACACUCUGUACGGAGUUACAAAAGAAUUUGUUAGACGAAUAACCUGGAAAGGUUAAUCAVGAGAAGGUAAUAAUCCUGUAGUCGAAAA